rnacentral:rRNA from 1 species
AUGGCAGAGAAGAAGGGAAAUAUCUUGAUGGAGAGAUAUGAGAUGGGAAGACUGCUGGGGCAAGGGAGCUUUGCUAAAGUUUACUAUGGUCGUAAUCUCAAGACUUCACAGAGCGUUGCCAUCAAGGUGAUUGACAAAGAGAAGAUAUUCAAGUGCGGGCUUAUGGAUCAAGUAAGGCGAGAGAUAUCUGUAAUGAAGUUGGUGAAACAUCCAAACAUUGUCCAAUUGUAUGAGGUGAUGGCCACCAAAACCAAGAUAUUUUUUGUGCUGGAGUAUGUGAAGGGGGGCGAGCUGUUCAACAAGGUCCAACGAGGAAGGCUGAAAGAAGAUGUUGCUCGCAAGUACUUCCAACAGCUCAAUAGUGCAGUUGACUUCUGCCACAGCCGAGGCGUCUAUCACCGUGAUUUGAAGCCUGAAAAUCUUCUUCUUGAUGAGAACCGCAAUUUAAAGAUCUCUGACUUUGGUUUGAGUGCACUUGCAGAAUGCAAGAGACAAGAUGGGCUGCUUCACACAACUUGUGGUACCCCUGCAUAUGUUGCUCCGGAACUGAUUAGUAAGAAAGGAUAUGAUGGUGCAAAAGCUGACAUCUGGGCUUGUGGAGUCAUCUUGUAUGUAUUGUUGGCUGGUUAUCUCCCUUUUCAGGACAAGAAUUUGAUGGACAUGUAUAAGAAGAUUUACAAAGCAGAGCUCAAAUGGCCAAGCUGGUUUUCUUCAGAUGCCCGGAGGCUUCUGAGACGUAUUCUUGAUCCGAACCCUGGUACACGGAUCUCCUUUUCAGAGAUCUUGGAAAAUUCUUGGUUCCGGACAGGCCUUGACAAGGGACUGAUUACCUAUAACACACGAACGGAGGGCAUUGUUGCUGUUGACAUGGAUCCGACUUGUGAUCCGUUCAGUAGCUGUACGACCGAGACAAUACAAGAAGCAACAGAGCUCACUAACUUGAAUGCUUUUGACAUCAUUUCUCUUUCUUCUGGGUUUGAUCUCUCUGGCAUGUUUGAGGAUAAGUCCAACAAAGAGUCAAAAUUCACAUCUACCAACACAGCUGCAACAAUCAUCACAAAGCUUGAAGACAUUGCAAAGCGCUUGCGGCUAAGACUCAUUAAGAGAGACGGUGGGUUGUUGAAGAUGCAGAGCUCGCAACCAGGAAGGAAAGGCGUAAUGUCCAUAGAUACCGAGAUAUUUCAGAUUGCACCAAAUUUUCAUCUGGUGGAAAUCAGGAAGACCAAUGGUGAUACUCUCGAGUAUCAGAAGGUUGAACAUGAUAUGAGACCGGCUUUGAAAGACAUUGUUUGGGCUUGGAAAGGUGAACUACAUAAGCACGUGUAG